rnacentral:rRNA from 1 species
CCUACGGGUUGCAGCAGUGGGGAAUAUUGCGCAAUGGGGGAAACCCUGACGCAGCAACGCCGCGUGAGUGAUGAAGGCCCUCGGGUCGUAAAGCUCUGUCAGGUGGGAAGAACAAGGUGGUCUUUAAUAAGGAUGGCCUUUGACGGUACCACCAGAGGAAGCACCGGCUAACUCCGUGCCAGCAGCCGCGGUAAUACGGAGGGUGCAAGCGUUGUUCGGAAUCACUGGGCGUAAAGCGCGUGCAGGCGGCCCAUUAAGUCAGGUGUGAAAGCCCUUGGCUCAACCAAGGAAUUGCAUCUGAAACUACUGGGCUUGAGUACGGGAGAGGAGAGUGGAAUUCCCGGUGUAGAGGUGAAAUUCGUAGAUAUCGGGAAGAACACCGGUGGCGAAGGCGGCUCUCUGGACCGAUACUGACGCUGAGACGCGAAAGCGUGGGGAGCAAACAGGAUUAGAUACCCUUGUAGUC